rnacentral:rRNA from 1 species
UAGGGAAUCUUCCGCAAUGGGCGAAAGCCUGACGGAGCAACGCCGCGUGAGUGAUGAAGGUCUUCGGAUCGUAAAACUCUGUUAUUAGGGAAGAACAAAUGUGUAAGUAACUAUGCACGUCUUGACGGUACCUAAUCAGAAAGCCACGGCUAACUACGUGCCAGCAGCCGCGGUAAUACGUAGGUGGCAAGCGUUAUCCGGAAUUAUUGGGCGUAAAGCGCGCGUAGGCGGUUUUUUAAGUCUGAUGUGAAAGCCCACGGCUCAACCGUGGAGGGUCAUUGGAAACUGGAAAACUUGAGUGCAGAAGAGGAAAGUGGAAUUCCAUGUGUAGCGGUGAAAUGCGCAGAGAUAUGGAGGAACGCCAGUGGCGAAGGCGACUUUCUGGUCUGUAACUGACGCUGAUGUGCGAAAGCGUGGGGAUCAAACAGG